AGUAUUUGCCCUUACGGGAGGCAGCAGCAAGGUAUUUUCCCCAAUGGGCGGUUGCUUUGUGAGCAACGCCGUGUUGAGGACGUCGGUCUUUGGGUUGUAAACUCCUUUCGGGUGGGUCGUCCUUGAUGGUACCAUCAGAAGUAGCCCCGGCUAACUACGUGCCAGCAGCCUGUGUUAAGACGUAUUUGUGCGUGCGUUUACCUGUAGUUACUUAGCGUAAAUGGCGUGUAGGCUUAUGUGAUACGCCGGGUGUGAAAGUAUUCCGGUCUUCAAUCCGGGGGAGGCGUCGCGGGGGGACGGCAC
rnacentral:rRNA from 1 species